CCUACGGGAGGCAGCAGUGAGGAAUAUUGGUCAAUGGCCGCAGGGCUGAACCAGCCAAGUCGCGUGAGGGAUGACGGUCCUAUGGAUUGUAAACCUCUUUUGUCAGGGAGCAAAGGGCGCCACGUGUGGCGUUUUGCGAGUACCUGAAGAAAAAGCAUCGGCUAACUCCGUGCCAGCAGCCGCGGUAAUACGGAGGAUGCGAGCGUUAUCCGGAUUUACUGGGUGUAAAGGGAGCGUAGACGGCUGUGCAAGUCUGAAGUGAAAGCCCGUGGCUCAACCGCGGAACUGCUUUGGAAACUGUAUAGCUUGAGUACUGGAGAGGCAGGCGGAAUUCCUAGUGUAGCGGUGAAAUGCUUAGAUAUCACGAAGAACUCCGAUUGCGAAGGCAGCUUACUAAACUGCCACUGACAUUGAUGCUCGAAAGUGUGGGUAUCAAACAGGAUUAGAUACCCCUGUAGUC
rnacentral:rRNA from 1 species